ensembl:snRNA U6 U6 spliceosomal RNA
GUGCUUGCUUCAGCAGCACAUUUACUAAAAUUGAAACAAUACAGAGAUUAGCAUGGCCUCUGCGAAAGGAUGACACGCAAAUUCAUGAAGCAUUCCAUAUUUUU